rnacentral:rRNA from 1 species
CAAUAGCGUAUAUUAAAGUUGUUGCAGUUAAAAAGCUCGUAGUUGGAUUUCGGGGUGGCCUGGCUGGUCCGCCGCAAGGUGAGUACUGGUCAGCCGCCCUUCCUCUCGAAAGCCCCGACUGCUCUUUACUGCAGUGGUCGGGUAGUUCGGGACGUUUACUUUGAAAAAAUUAGAGUGUUCAAGGCAGGCUAUCGCCUGAAUACAUUAGCAUGGAAUAAUGGAAGAGGACCUCGGUCCUAUUUUGUUGGUUUCUAGGGCCGAAGUAAUGAUUAAGAGGGACAGUUGGGGGCAUUCGUAUUUAAUCGUCAGAGGUGAAAUUCUUGGAUUUAUGAAAGACGAACUAGUGCGAAAGCAUUUGCCAAGGAUGUUUUCAUUAA